UUGCUCACUUCGGCAGCACGUAGACUAAAAUUGGAAUAAUACAGAGAAGAUUAGUGUGGCUCCUGCCCAAGGAUGACAUGCAAAACGGUGAGGUGUUACAUAUUUCA